UACGAAGGGGGCUAGCGUUGUUCGGAAUCACUGGGCGUAAAGGGCGCGUAGGCGGUUCGUUAAGUCCUGUGUGAAAUCCCCCGGCUCAACUGGGGAACUGCACAGGAAACUAGCGGGCUUGAGUUCGGGAGAGGGAAGCGGAAUUCCGGGUGUAGCGGUGAAAUGCGUAGAUAUCCGGAGGAACACCGGUGGCGAAGGCGGCUUCCUGGACCGACACUGACGCUGAGGCGCGAAAGCUAGGGGAGCAAACGGG
rnacentral:rRNA from 1 species